AGGUGCGAUUAUUCCAGCACUAAUGCACCGGAUCCCAUCCGAACUCCGCAGCUAUACGUGCUUGUACAAGAAAAGUAAUAGGAUGGGUGACCUCCUAGAAAGUCCUCGUGUUGCAGCCC
rfam:Beta vulgaris subsp. vulgaris Bvchr4_un.sca029.con0011.1, whole genome shotgun sequence.